GACGAACGCUGGCGGCGUGCUUAACACAUGCAAGUCGAACGGUAAGGCCCUUCGGGGUACACGAGUGGCGAACGGGUGAGUAACACGUGGGUGAUCUGCCCUGCACUUCGGGAUAAGCCUGGGAAACUGGGUCUAAUACCGGAUAGGACCACUGCCUGCAUGGGUGGUGGUGGAAAGCUUCUGCGGUGUGGGAUGGGCCCGCGGCCUAUCAGCUUGUUUGUGGGGUGAUGGCCUACCAAGGCGACGACGGGUAGCCGGCCGGAGAGGGGGACCGGCCACACUGGGACUGAGAUACGGCCCAGACUCCUACGGGAGGCAGCAGUGGGGAAUAUUGCACAAUGGGCGCAAGCCUGAUGCAGCGACGCCGCGUGAGGGAUGACGGCCUUCGGGUUGUAAACCUCUUUCAGCACCGACGAAGCGCAAGUGACGGUAGGUGCAGAAGAAGGACCGGCCAACUACGUGCCAGCCGCCGCCGUAA
rnacentral:rRNA from 1 species